rnacentral:sRNA from 1 species
CACUGCGUUUUUUCCUUGUGUUGCUAAGGUUACUGAAGUUAAGCAAGAACUCGCUUGGAGAUCUGGUCGAGAAAGACGGGAGCAUCAAAGACCGUAAUGUCCUGGCAGUCAUGACCAUCAUCGAGAAGGAGCUGAGUGACCACAUGAAGGACUACUACAUGGUGGAGCUCUCGACUCGAGCUGUCAUCCGGGCCAAGACGGAGAUCUCCAGCGAAGAAAAGAUGCUAACUCGCAUCCCUUCUUUCCGCAUCGGACCACACACGGCCCCAAGAGUUGUGCCGACCAAUUUGUUGUAAG